UCCCAAUAUAUAUAGCAGUGUGUCUCUCA
rnacentral:piRNA from 1 species